CAAUCAAGUGCCUUAAGGGUGUUCGACGGAUGCCUUGGCGCUGAGAGGCGAUGAAGGACGUGCUACGCUGCGAUAAGCUGUGGGGAGCUGCGAAGGAGCUUUGAUCCACAGAUUUCCGAAUGGGGAAACCCACCUUCGAUAGCCGGAACUCUAAGGUCAUCAUCACGCAAGUGAGGGUGAGCUUGGAUUUCCGGUUAUCAAGAGAAGGUAUGAAACUCCUGAAUACAUAGGGGGUUUUAAGCGAACCCGGGGAACUGAAACAUCUAAGUACCCGGAGGAAAGGACAUCAACCGAGACUCCGCUAGUAGUGGCGAGCGAACGCGGACCAGGCCAGUCAUCAAUGUGCGACAAUUGGAACCAGUCAGGAAAGCUGGGCCUUAGAGGGUGAUAGCCCCGUACAAGUAAUGCAAACAUUGAUGCUCGAGUAAGGCGGGACACGUGAAAUCCUGUCUGAACGUGGGGGGACCACCCUCCAAGCCUAAGUACUCCUCAGCGACCGAUAGUGAACAAGUACCGUGAGGGAAAGGUGAAAAGCACCCCG
rnacentral:rRNA from 1 species